UACGGGGGGAGCAAGCGUUGUUCGGAUUUACUGGGCGUAAAGGGCGCGUAGGCGGCCACUGCAAGUCGGUUGUGAAAUCUCCGGGCUUAACCCGGAACGGUCAAUCGAUACUGCAGGGCUAGAGUGCGGAAGGGGCAACUGGAAUUCUCGGUGUAGCGGUGAAAUGCGUAGAUAUCGAGAGGAACACCUGCGGCGAAGGCGGGUUGCUGGGCCGACACUGACGCUGACAGCGCGAAAGCUAGGGGAGCGA
rnacentral:rRNA from 1 species